GUUCUCUUCACCUUAAUACUGACUCUAGAAACAUCCAUCUUAUAUUAUCCAACAGAACAAAGGAGUACCUCUUUACGUUCUCUUCACCUUAAUACUCACUCUCUAGAAACAUCCAUCUUAUAUUAUCCAACAGAACAAAGGAGUACCUCUUUACGUUUUCUUCCUUUACUUUUGAGAACCUUUUAGCACUAUUCAUCUUCUUAUUGGAACGAUUUAAGAACUCUGGAAGCGAGGUUUGAUCUCUGUGUUUGAAGCUGCUUUUUAUCAGCUGGGUGGUUCCAUUUCAAUUAUGCUUUUCUUUCAGUUCUCUUUAGAGUUUCCAAUUGCACGGCUGAGUGUUAUUUGCUUUUGGUGUUAUUUUUUUAUUUCAUCGGAUUUUGAAGCUCAAAUUUGCUCGAAGAAAGCAGGAAAAAACAGGAAAUAAUCUGACUGAUAGAGGUGGGAUCCAAACCAUUUUGCAGAGACAUCCUAUCAGCUGCCAGGAGACAUGAGCAUUUUAUGCAAGGAAAACACAGAGUUGGACUCAUGGAACUUACAUCAAGUUUACCAAGUUUCCCAAACAAAGGCUGGAAAUAGCUUAUGUUACGAUGACUGCCAAAUCUAAGACUGUUUUUCCCUUAAUUUUAGCUAGGUGGACACACAAAUUCUGGGAAGAAUGUAGGCUACACCAAAGCAGGCAUGUUUUCACAAGUAAGGAGAGGAGGAGCUUAUAUCGUCGUCUUAUGGCCUUAUCUAUGAGAACAGAGUCAAUGGCAUCAAUCUCUUUACCUCUGCAUUAAGGAAGUUGUUUACAUCCAUAGCAAACUGGGCUGGAUAAGCUCCAGCUACAUCUUCCUGAUGAAAUGGAACAGAAUAUCCUUCCUUUGUUCCAUGCUGGAGAGUCCCUUGUUUUGUACUUGUUUUGGCACAUGGAAUAGCCAGCUGGGUGCAUAGAGGCAUGAAUGAUCUCGCUGGAGGAUUCAUGAAGUAGCUGGCCGCAAAAGGAAAGCUUUACAGAAGGUAGAGAAGCACAAAGGAUUCUGAGGCCAUUUAUGGCAAGUUCAUUUAUACAGAGUAUACUCUGUUCCUCAAAUGAGUUUAGUAUGAAAUGUUUAUAUAAUCAGCUUUAUGGUAUUGCUUCAAUUUUAGUAAUCAUGCUAAAAAUAUGUAUCAUCUUACGAUAUUGAAUAUUUCUUUCAGAAAUCUGUAGUUGUGCAAAUAACGGGAGCAACGUAUAGGGCACACGCUUGUGUUUGAUGGUGUAUGUGAAGAGCAAAAUUGUUGGAUUGAAAUAGUCUACUUUAGGUCAUGAAAGAGUUUCAUCUUGCAAGAGCCUACUUAGCCUACUUAUGUUCAACUGCCAGAAUUCAGAUUUCAGCCCAAUCUCAUACAGAUGUUGGAGCACGUAUAAUCUUUCUACUAUUGUCUUCCUAAGCAAGUUACCUAUGUAACUUUGUUCCACAAACUAUGUCUCUGUUUUGCCUUUUCUGCAACUACUCCUAUAACUUUAUUCCACAAAUGAAUGUAAUAUACUAUGAAGCAUGUCAUGUUAAUAUUUAGUUUAA